rnacentral:rRNA from 1 species
AUUGAACGCUGGCGGCAGGCUUAACACAUGCAAGUCGAGCGGGGGAAGGUAGCUUGCUACCGGACCUAGCGGCGGACGGGUGAGUAAUGCUUAGGAAUCUGCCUAUUAGUGGGGGACAACAUCUCGAAAGGGAUGCUAAUACCGCAUACGUCCUACGGGAGAAAGCAGGGGAUCUUCGGACCUUGCGCUAAUAGAUGAGCCUAAGUCGGAUUAGCUAGUUGGUGGGGUAAAGGCCUACCAAGGCGACGAUCUGUAGCGGGGCUGAGAGGAUGAUCCGCCACACUGGGACUGAGACACGGCCCAGACUCCUACGGGAGGCAGCAGUGGGGAAUAUUGGACAAUGGGGGGAACCCUGAUCCAGCCAUGCCGCGUGUGUGAAGAAGGCCUUAUGGUUGUAAAGCACUUUAAGCGAGGAGGAGGCUACUUUAGUUAAUACCUAGAGAUAGUGGACGUUACUCGCAGAAUAAGCACCGGCUAACUCUGUG